rnacentral:rRNA from 1 species
ACCCCGGGAGGGAGUGAAAUAGCACCUGAAACCGUGUGCCUACAAGAAGUUCGAGCCCGUCAAUGGGUGAGAGCGUGCCUUUUGUAGAAUGAACCGGCGAGUUACGUUAUGAUGCGAGGUUAAGCUGAAGAGGCGGAGCCGUAGCGAAAGCGAGUCUGAAUAGGGCGCUUUAGUAUCAUGAUGUAGACCCGAAACCCGGUGAAAUGCGUAGAUAUAUGGAGGAACACCGGAGGCGAAAGCGGCUCUCUGGCCUGUAACUGACACUGAGGCUCGAAAGCGUGGGGAGCAAACAGGAUUAGAUACCCUGGUAGUCCACGCCGUAAACGAUGAGUGCUAGCUGUAGGGAGCUAUAAGUUCUCUGUAGCGCAGCUAACGCAUUAAGCACUCCGCCUGGGGAGUACGACCGCAAGGUUGAAACUCAAAGGAAUUGACGGGGGCCCGCACAAGCGGUGGAGCAUGUGGUUUAAUUCGAAGCAACGCGAAGAACCUUACCAGGUCUUGACAUACUCGUGCUAUCCUUAGAGAUAAGGAGUUCCUUCGGGACACGGGAUACAGGUGGUGCAUGGUUGUCGUCAGCUCGUGUCGUGAGAUGUUGGGUUAAGUCCCGCAACGAGCGCAACCCUUAUUACUAGUUGCCAUCAUUAAGUUGGGCACUCUAGUGAGACUGCCGGUGAUAAACCGGAGGAAGGUGGGGAUGACGUCAAAUCAUCAUGCCCCUUAUGACCUGGGCUACACACGUGCUACAAUGGAUGGUACAACGAGUCGCCAACCCGCGAGGGUGCGCUAAUCUCUUAAAACCAUUCUCAGUUCGGAUUGCAGGCUGCAACUCGCCUGCAUGAAGUCGGAAUCGCUAGUAAUCGCGGAUCAGCACGCCGCGGUGAAUACGUUCCCGGGCCUUGUACACACCGCCCGUCACACCACGGAAGUUGGGAGUACCCAAAGUAGGUUGCCUAACCGCAAGGAGGGCGCUUCCUAAGGUAAGACCGAUGACUGGGGUGAAGUCGUAACAAGGUAGCCGUAUCGGAAGGUGCGGCUG